GCGGGUGUGGCGGAAUUGGCAGACGCACUAGACUUAGGAUCUAGCGCCUUACGGCGUGGGGGUUCGACUCCCUUUACCCGCA
rnacentral:tRNA from 1 species